rnacentral:rRNA from 1 species
UACACGAGCGGCGAACGGGUGAGUAACACGUGGGUGAUCUGCCUCGCACUCUGGGAUAAGCCUGGGAAACUGGGUCUAAUACCGGAUAUGACCUUACAUCGCAUGGUGUUUGGUGGAAAGAUUUAUCGGUGCGAGAUGGGCCCGCGGCCUAUCAGCUUGUUGGUGGGGUAAUGGCCUACCAAGGCGACGACGGGUAGCCGGCCUGAGAGGGCGACCGGCCACACUGGGACUGAGACACGGCCCAGACUCCUACGGGAGGCAGCAGUGGGGAAUAUUGCACAAUGGGCGAAAGCCUGAUGCAGCGACGCCGCGUGAGGGAUGACGGCCUUCGGGUUGUAAACCUCUUUCGACAGGGACGAAGCGCAAGUGACGGUACCUGUAGAAGAAGCACCGGCCAACUACGUGCCAGCAGCCGCGGUAAUACGUAGGGUGCGAGCGUUGUCCGGAAUUACUGGGCGUAAAGAGCUUGUAGGCGGCUUGUCGCGUCGAUCGUGAAAACUUGGGGCUCAACCCCAAGCUUGCGGUCGAUACGGGCAGGCUUGAGUACUUCAGGGGAGACUGGAAUUCCUGGUGUAGCGGUGAAAUGCGCAGAUAUCAGGAGGAACACCGGUGGCGAAGGCGGGUCUCUGGGAAGUAACUGACGCUGAGAAGCGAAAGCGUGGGUAGCGAAUAGGAUUAGAUACCCUGGAAGUCCUCGCCG